UAAAUACUCCUUCCGUCCGGAAAUAGUUGUCAUCAAAAUGGAUAGAAGGGGAUGUAUCUAGACGUAUUUUAGUUCUAGAUACAUCUCUUUUUAUCUAUUUUGAUGACAAGUAUUUUCGGACGGAGGGAGUAUAAG
rfam:Triticum aestivum genome assembly, contig: Triticum_aestivum_CS42_TGACv1_scaffold_031394_1BL